rnacentral:rRNA from 1 species
ACGGGGGAUGCAAGCGUUAUCCGGAUUUAUUGGGUUUAAAGGGUGCGCAGGCUGAUCGGUAAGUCAUGGGUGAAAAGUCACUGCUUAACAGUGAUCGUGCCUAUGAUACUGCCGGACUAGAGUUUAAGAGGUGUAACUGGAAUGUGAUGUGUAGCGGUGAAAUGCUUAGAUAUGUCACAGAACGCCAAUCGUGAAGACAGGUUACAAACUUAAUACUGACGCUCAUGCACGAAAGCGUGGGGAUCAAACAG